GAUGAACGCUGGCGGCGUGCCUAAUACAUGCAAGUCGAGCGAACAGACGAGGAGCUUGCUCCUCUGACGUUAGCGGCGGACGGGUGAGUAACACGUGGAUAACCUACCUAUAAGACUGGGAUAACUUCGGGAAACCGGAGCUAAUACCGGAUAAUAUAUUGAACCGCAUGGUUCAAUAGUGAAAGACGGUUUUGCUGUCACUUAUAGAUGGAUCCGCGCCGCAUUAGCUAGUUGGUAAGGUAACGGCUUACCAAGGCGACGAUGCGUAGCCGACCUGAGAGGGUGAUCGGCCACACUGGAACUGAGACACGGUCCAGACUCCUACGGGAGGCAGCAGUAGGGAAUCUUCCGCAAAGGGCGAAAGCCUGACGGAGCAACGCCGCGUGAGUGAUGAAGGUCUUCGGAUCGUAAAACUCUGUUAUUAGGGAAGAACAAAUGUGUAAGUAACUAUGUACGUCUUGACGGUACCUAAUCAGAAAGCCACGGCUAACUACGUG
rnacentral:rRNA from 1 species